CCUGAGAAACCCAAAAGAUCGAAUGGGGAGAUUCAUCGUCAGCGGUACUGGUACGUGUGCGGUUCGCGAUGUCCGAGACCUCGGUCUCGCGGCACGCGUCCGCAUGUUUUUAUUGCCUGGUAUCGUCGGCGUGCACUUCUCCCCUAGUAGGACGUCGCGACCCGUUGGGUGUCGGUCUACGGCCCGGGUGGGUGCCUGUCUCGUGUGCGCUUUAUCGCGUCACUGCGGGGCAGACCCCCGGUUGCCUGACCGGCUGCUCGGCGGUACUCGCAAGGUAUCUGGCCGCAAAUAUUCGAACUGCGUCCGGCCCGUCGCAAGCGAGGCGAGUGUUCCCGAAUGUACGGAUCUAACGCCGUCAUCGGGCCUAGCCAGCUGUUGGCUGACGGUGUCCUAGGACUGGCUGUAACAAUUAUGAUACCGGUCAGCGACGCUACUGCUUUGGGUACUUUCAGGACCCGUCUUGAAACACGGACCAAGGAGUCUAACAUGUGCGCGAGUCAUUGGGAACUAUUAAGCCUAAAGGCGCAAUGAAAGUGAAGGUCGGCCUUGCGCCGACCGAGGGAGGAUGGGCCGCGUCACGAUGCGGUCCCGCACUCCCGGGGCGUCUCGUUCUCAUUGCGAGAAGAGGCGCACCCAGAGCGUACACGUUGGGACCCGAAAGAUG
rnacentral:rRNA from 1 species